GAUCCUGGCUCAGGAUGAACGCUAGCGGCAGGCUUAACACAUGCAAGUCGAGGGGCAGCGCGGGGCGGCAACGUCCUGGCGGCGACCGGCGGAGGGGUGCGUAACGCGUGAGCGACAUGCCCGUUGCCCGGGGACAACCGGUGGAAACGCCGACUAAUCCCCGAUGGGACGGAGGCCCUCAUGGGUCUCUGUUGAAAGUUACGGCGGCGACGGAUUGGCUCGCGUCCGAUUAGCUUGUUGGCGGGGUAACGGCCCACCAAGG
rnacentral:rRNA from 1 species